CAGGUCAUCGUUCAGAAAAUCGCAAGAGGUUUCGCCAAAUUUCCCUCAAACUGCUAGCUCACCGGUUUUGCUUGAUCAGUUCCUCUUGCUGCUGUGUUCUUGUUUAGAAAAUCGCAAGCGCAAGGUUCCACCAAAUUUCCCUCAAGCUGCUGAUUUAUUUCGCCAAACCUCGCCAGUCAUGUUCAGAAGGAAUUUAGCCAUCAAGGUUUUGCCAAACCUCGCCAAAUCGCAAGGAUAUCGCAGGUUAAAUUAGGGGAAGAGGGCUGGAAAGACAGAUAUUAUGAAGAAAAAAUUUGGGGUUGAAUAUGUUGAAGAUUGUGAUAGGGUUCGUAGGGAUACAGUAAGGAUAUUCAUUCUUGCUGUACUGCCUUUAAACAUGAAAAGAACUAGAAUAUUCCAAUCCAGUUGUUUUGAAAUAUGCUGAAGGGAUAUGUUGGGUAAUGC